rnacentral:rRNA from 1 species
GAUGAACGCUGGCGGCGUGCCUAAUACAUGCAAGUCGAGCGAACAGACGAGGAGCUUGCUCCUCUGACGUUAGCGGCGGACGGGUGAGUAACACGUGGAUAACCUCCCUAUAAGACUGGGAUAACUUCGGGAAACCGGAGCUAAUACCGGAUAAUAUAUUGAACCGCAUGGUUCAAUAGUGAAAGCCGGUUUUGCUGUCACUUAUAGAUGGAUCCGCGCCGCAUUAGCUAGUUGGUAAGGUAACAGCUUACCAAGGCAACGAUGAGUAGCCGACCUGAGAGGGUGAUCGGCCACACUGGAACUGAGACACGGUCCAGACUCCUACGGGAGGCAGCAGUAGGGAAUCUUGCGCAAUGGGCGAAAGCCUGACGCAGCAACGCCGCGUGAGUGAUGAAGGUCUUCGGAUCGUAAAACUCUGUUAUUAGGGAAGAACAACUGUGUAAGUAACUAUGCACGUCUUGACGGUACCUGAUCAGAAAGCCACGGCUAACUACGUG